rnacentral:misc_RNA from 1 species
AAGUCGUAACAAGGUUUCCGUAGGUGAACCUGCGGAAGGAUCAUUAACGAGUUAGGGUCUUCUAGGCCCGACCUCCCAACCCUUUGUUUAUUCAACCAUUCGUUGCUUCGGCGAGCCCGUCCUCACGGACCGCCGGGGGACCGUCGUAGGUCCUCUGGCCCGCGCUCGUCGGUGGCCAACCUUUAAAUUCUUUUAACUAAAUGUGUCUUACUGAGUACUAUAUUUAAUUAAAAAGCAAAACUUUCAACAACGGAUCUCUUGGUUCUG